rnacentral:rRNA from 1 species
GCUAGUAAUCGCGGAUCAGAACGCCGCGGUGAAUGCGUUCCCGGGUCUUGUACACACCGCCCGUCACACCAUGGAAGUCGGGGGCGCCCGAAGUCGGUCGAGAAAUAGGCUGCCUAAGGUGAAACCGAUGACUGGGGUGAAGUCGUAACAAGGUACC